rnacentral:lncRNA from 1 species
ACGGAUCAGACUAACAAAAUCGCUCUACUUCCUUAAAUUGGAUGCACAUCUUACUUCCAUGAUUCUGAAUGAUUAACCAGAACGUCACCAUACUCUCUCACACUUGAGGACCUGGGAUACUUAAACAAGUUUUCUUACAAGCUGGUUAUGUGGUUGCAGUAACAGAAUACUCUAUUUUCUCUUCUAACAAGAAAUGGAUAGGAAGCUAUAGCAUACUCAGACCAAGCAAUUUCUUAAGAGCAUACCUUGCAAUCGCGCAUUCUAACAGAUGCUCUCAAACUGUAGAGAAAUGAACACGCCAAAGUCGAUGACAGCGCUCAAGCUUUUCAAGACAGCAGCUCCAUCAUGCAAGAUGUGGUUUACUUGUAAAGGUCAUUUGAUAUGUACCAGGUAAAGGGCGAGGUCCAGCUGACACCAGAAAUUUUUAGCACUUCCAGACUUCUAUAUAUCUACGAAUAGUACAUUCCAUUUCAGCUGGGAACCCAAUCUACUGUGUCAUUAAACAAGAACUCUCCCCCUGAUUGUCCCAAAAUAUAGUCAGUAUUAUAUUCAGGAUAGAGGGGUUGCAAAUGAUGAAAAAAUAUUAACCAUGCAUAUCAACACUUACAGGGAAGCAAAUGAAAGCCUUCCUGCCAUACUUGCAUCACCUGAAAAAAGCAACGCGCCGCUGUCACCGGCGCACAACGUUUCAAGUCAAAUGGGAUCAAUGGCAACCGAGUUAGAAUACAAAGAAUCAAGCCACAAAGGAUACAUUUCAAGCUCAUCGGCUGCAGCAGAAAUGACGGAAUGGGAUUAUCUUUUUGGAGGUGACUAUCCUAAAUAUACAUACGAGAUGUAAUUCUUGCAAAAAAAAAGUUAUGUAGUUCUUUGCCUCAAAUAAUUUAGUUAAAAUAUUAUGUACUCACAUAUAAAAUUUUCAUAGAAUGCCUAAGAGAUUGAAAUUUAGUUGUGAAGUCAUCUAACAUGAAUUUUAGGCAUCAGUGACUAGUGAUGCUUACAAAUAAAUUCAAGACAUUACAACUUAUGUAUGUUUGUAAUCAAUUGUAUUAUUUACCUAUGCUCAAAGUAAUAUGAUAAAUGAAACCUAGGGUUUGCACCCAAACCAACCAUUUUUAGAUAGAUGCCAAAAAUCAAAGCAACCAUUUUUAGAUCAUGGAAAAGCACCCACUCUCACAUGCGAUACAUGUCUACAAAAAGGAGAGGUUUCCUAUGUGAGCAAAGUGAAGCUGCUUUCAGCCAUGCAACCAUUUUGAAGGUAGUCACACUGAUUUUCCACUGCGAUGAUAACACAGAUUGGAGAAUGAUAGUUUACGGGUCAUCAGGAACUGACGAUGCUGUCAGCUUCUCUGAAACUGCUGCUCUACCUUCAGUUAUUGGCGAUACACAUGAAACAACACAAGUGGUGCAUUUUACAACUCAGGAACCUGAUAGCACCUACUUGUUGCUAGCAUCAACAUAUAAUCAGGUAUGUUGCUAGCAUUUUACAACUAAGAAGAUGGUAAUGCUAUUACUCAAUAUGGAAACACCAAAAUAAUCAGAUGGAUGGUAUCAUACAGGAAGACGAACCCAGUGUACAUGAAGAAAAGUAUGAGAAGCUUCAAGAUUCAUGCAUUGAAGCUAAGUUGUUAAAGGAUGAAGCUGAUGAUGAUGAAUCUAACAAAAUCCGGAAAGCUGAAAUGGACCUGCUUUCAGCACUUCAAAGAGUAAGCUUUGUUUUAUGGGUUCACAUUCACACUGCAGCUUGCAUUAUAUGUAAAGCAAAGUAAUACGUAGACCAUCUAACCAUUGUACUAUUGAACAUCAUAUAAUUAAUUACUGAUUAGGUCCAGUGUGACCAAAAUAGCGAAAUCUCCUUGCAGAUUAAAGAGUUGGAAGAUUCAUAUAUUCACGAGGUGAGCCAGCGAAAAGAAAUUGAGAAGACGCUUGCUAGACAAAGGUUGGAGAUUGAUGAAAUGAGGAGACAACGGUGCACGCUAUCUGAUAAAUUACAUGAUUCGGAUAAGCAUAAGCUUGUACUUGAACAACGUAUAACACAAAUUAAGUCAGCUGCAAAAGAUCACGUGGAAGAGAUUACUGAACAUUUUAUAAGACAAUCAAGUGAGGAAUCUAAAAAACACCAAAAAGUCAAAAUGGGUCUGCUUUCAACACUUCAAAGAGUAAGUGUGUUGUAUCAGGACUUUAGGAGUUUACGGUUCAACUAGGGAAGCAUGUGAUACACAAGAUGUAAAGUAUUCUUAUACAGGUUAAGGAGGUUGAGAGUUUGCUACAGAAUGAGAAGGCACAGCGGGAAUAUAUGGAGGAGAAGGUAUCAAGACAGAGAACAGAGAUCGAAGAAACAAGGAGGCAACGAGAUAAACUGUACCAUGACUUGCAAGAUUUAAAAGAGCAGAAGCUCAAACUGGAACAAGUUGUAAGUUUGGCAGUCUAUUAUUAAGUUUUAAUGUAUUGUUGAACAUUGUUCAGAAUAUAUGACUGAUCUUUUGAAAAGGGUAUGUCUGAAGAAACUAACAGAAGAAGAAAAGCUGAGAGAGAUCGGCUCUCAUACCUUCAAAGGGUAUGUUUUCUUCUUCCUUUUCUGCACCAUUGGUCCUUAAUACAAAUCACAGGUGGUCAUGGAAGUGGUGAUUGCUCGUGCAGAUUAAAGACCUGGAGCACCAGCACAUACAUCAGGUGAAAAAGCAGGAAACAAUGGAGGAGACAAUGACAAGACAGAAGGAAGAAAUCCAAGCAUCGAAAAGAAAGCUACAUGAGACACAUGGCAAACAUAUGUCUGAGAUAAAGUCCGCCGUGAAGGUUCAUGAAGAAAAGCUCGCCGACAGCAAGCAGCUUCUCCAAGAGCUCCAAGCGAAGCAUGACAAGCUACUGCGUGAGAGAGACACCGCAGCUAUGGAAGCCAAAGAGUCACGCCAAAAGAACAAGCAAAGAGCCUUAGGGACGACUGAAACUGCGAACACCGAGUUCUCGAUUGUCGAGCUGCAGAAAGCAACCAGAGGAUUCGAUGCGGAACUCAAGAUCAGCGAAGAUGGAUUUGCAAGCGUCUACAGAGGUUUCGUCCGCAACACAGACGUAGCAAUAAAGUUGUUCCAUUCGCGAAGCUUAAAAGGGCAGGCAAGAUUUUACCAAGAGGUAGGUAGUUGACAUUGCUUACCUUCAAGUUCUUACCGCCCCCUUUUUCGAACGAGCAGUGACAUCACUACUCACUCGCUCCUGCAGGUUGCUGUCCUCAGUAGGGUGAGGCAUCCUAACAU